GACGAACGCUGGCGGCGUGCUUAACACAUGCAAGUUGAACGGUGAAGGGACCGGUUUUUGCUGGUUCUGGAUGAGUGGCGAACGGGUGAGUAACACGUGAGUAACCUGCCCCCUUCUUCUGGAUAACCGCAUGAAAGUGUGGCUAAUACGGGAUAUUCUGCGCCUGCUGCAUGGUGGGUGUGGGAAAGAUAUUGUUUCGGUGGGGGAUGGGCUCGCGGCCUAUCAGCUUGUUGGUGGGGUGAUGGCCUACCAAGGCGGUGACGGGUAGCCGGCCUGAGAGGGUGGACGGUCACACUGGGACUGAGACACGGCCCAGACUCCUACGGGAGGCAGCAGUGGGGAAUAUUGCACAAUGGGCGCAAGCCUGAUGCAGCGACGCCGCGUGAGGGAUGGAGGCCUUCGGGUUGUAAACCUCUUUCGCCAGUGAAGCAGGCCUGUCCCUUUUGUGGGUGGGUUGACGGUAGCUGGAUAAGAAGCGCCGGCUAACUACGUG
rnacentral:rRNA from 1 species